rnacentral:rRNA from 1 species
GACGAACGCUGGCGGCGUGCCUAAUACAUGCAAGUCGAGCGGAACUGGGGGAGCUUGCUCCUUCCAGUUUAGCGGCGGACGGGUGAGUAACACGUGGGCAACCUGCCCUGCAGAUCGGGAUAACUCCGGGAAACCGGUGCUAAUACCGAAUAGUUUGGCGCCUCUCCUGAGGCGCUACGGAAAGACGGUUUCGGCUGUCACUGCAGGAUGGGCCCGCGGCGCAUUAGCUAGUUGGUGGGGUAACGGCCCACCAAGGCGCCGAUGCGUAGCCGACCGGAGAGGGGGACCGGCAACACUGGGACUGAGACACGGCCCAGACUCCGACGGGAGGCAGCAGUAGGGAAUCUUCCGCAAUGGACGCAAGUCUGACGGAGCAACGCCGCGUGAGUGACGAAGGUUUUCGGAUCGUAAAACUCUGUUGUGAGGGAAGAACACGUACCAACUAACUAUUGGUACCUUGACGGUACCUCGCCAGAAAGCCACGGCUAACUACGUGCCAGCCGCCGCCGUAA